CCUCCCACACUUAAAACCCUAAUCCCCUUCCCCAUUCAAAAUGGGACAAAAUCGGAUCCUAGACUUCAAGAGAAGAAAAGCGGGUAAAGCUUGAAGAGGACCCCUGUUCCUGGCUUCAUCUUUUCAUAAUUACGCCCCCACCCGAUUUCUCAUCUUCUCCACACACAUAGAGAGUCACACGUUAGAGAUUCACCUUCAUAGACUUUAGGUCUAGCAUGUCAUUCACUCACUAUCGAAGAGAACCAAAGUGAAUUCGAAUUGUAUUUUGGAUUUGGAAAUAUAACCCUUCAAAGACUGAAAACAAGGAUAGAAACAAAUGGGAAUUUUGGGAUUUCUUGAGGAUUUUGUUGAUUCAUAUGGUUUUCCAGUAAAGAUCAGUCCGUCGAUGCCGACUCGAGUUCAUUGUUGAGUUUUGGUCGCGGUUCCUGCUGAAUCUCAAUUUUGUUUUCAUUUCAAGUGUGUCGCCAAGUCUUCUUCUGCUUGUAAUCAUUUCAACCAAUUUAAUCGAAAGAAUUUUCAGACAUUCUGAUGGUAAAUUUAUUAUCAAGGUCACUGAUGAAUACGAGUCAAAGUUUUGUUCGAGAUGUGGUUUGUUGUUCUGAUUCUGGUUUGUGAUUCCAAGCUGAAAUGUCUCUGAGAAUUAUGGGCAGGAAUCAUCGAGUUGUUUAACCUUCUUGUGAUUAAAAUUGGUGAAUAUAAGCCAAGGACCAUUCGAGAAGACGAGUCAAUUUCCGGCUAUAAUUAUUGCUUCAUUUCAGUUCGUAUAAAUUGCAGGUUCAUUUCUAUUUCAUUGGUUUCUCCCUUUCAAUUUUAUGGAGUUUAUAUGAAUUUUUAGUGCUGGUUUGUCAUUGCACCUUAGUCGCUGUUAGAUUUUGCGAAUGAGACUCUUACUUCUAGUG
rnacentral:lncRNA from 1 species